GUAGGCGGCAAGCGUUGUCCGGAAUUAUUGGGCGUAAAGCGCGCGCAGGUGGGUUCUUUUAAGUCUGAUGUGAAAGCCCCCCGGGCUCAACCGGGGAGGGUCAUUGGAAACUGGGGAACUUGAGUGCAGGAGAGGAAAGUGGAAUUCCACGUGUAGCGGUGAAAUGCGUAGAUAUGUGGAGGAACACCAGUGGCGAAGGCGACUUUCUGGCCUGUAACUGACACUGAGGCGCGAAAGCGUGGGGAGCAAACAGGAUUAGAUACCCUGGUAGUCCACGCCGUAAACGAUGAGUGCUAAGUGUUCGGGGGGGUUUCCGCCCCUCAGUGCCGCAGCUAACGCAUUAAGCACUCCGCCUGGGGAGUACGGUCGCAAAGACUG
rnacentral:rRNA from 1 species